rfam:Bacillus vireti LMG 21834 contig67, whole genome shotgun sequence.
AGUAUCGUGAGAUUUCGUGCGGAGGACCUGAAGGCAAAACUCGGAACAGGUGGCUGAAACUAGGUUGGCUGGUAAGAUGGGAUAACCCUGCCAAAAAUGGGAAUGUCCAAUACCACUUGUAUCUUAUUAGUUAUGAGGACUGGCUUCGAGUGAAAGGCGAUGACG